UUAUUUUGUUUAAAAAUUGUGAACACGAAAUUAAAUAUAAAAAAUGAAAAAAUCUUGGUAUUUAUCUAUCAAUGUGAAUAUUCACGACGAUUUGAGCAUGAUCGGUAGUCAGAAUCGAUGGAUUCGUAUUAAAAAUUGAUUGGGAAUUAUUUAUGCAAUAAAUUAUGGGGGUGAGAAGGCUGUAAAUAAUAUUAAUUGGUUAAAAGCACAUGUCGCAGGUUGAACUCAAUCAAACUCCAUCCGAAGAACUGACAUUGCGAUCACGUGGGUAUAAAUUACUGCGAAAAUUAGGAGAGGGUUCAUUUGCAAAGGUGUUUCUGGCAGAGUACACCCCAGAGAAUGAACCCGAGCAGAUAAGUCCCCUAGCUUGUAAAAUCGUGGACACGUCCAAGGCACCCAAGGAUUUUGUUAAAAAAUUUCUACCACGAGAGCUGGAUAUCCUAGCGAAGUUAAAUCAUCCUCACGUCGUCCACGUGCACAGCAUAUUCCAGAGACGCUGCAGGUACUUCAUCUUCAUGAGAUUUGCGGAGAAUGGAGAUCUUCUCGAUUUCACGUUGAAGAAUGGAGCCGUCGACGAAGACCAAGCCCGCGUUUGGUUCAGACAAUUAGCUCUAGGACUCCAGUACCUCCAUGAGAUGGAGAUAGCUCACAGGGACAUCAAAUGCGAGAAUGUCCUUCUGACGGCCAACAAUAACGUCAAGUUAACUGAUUUUGGUUUUGCACGUUAUGUAAUUGAUCCGAGGGGUAAAAAAGUUCUGAGUGAUACAUUCUGCGGUUCCCUGAUGUACGCUGCACCGGAGAUUCUUCGUGGAGCUCCGUACAAUCCCAAAGCUGCUGACACGUGGUCCCUUGGGGUGAUCCUCUACAUAAUCCUCAACAAGGCCAUGCCCUUUGACGAGCCAAAUUUAAAAAAAUUGUACGAAAUCCAGAUGAAUCGCAAGUGGAAAUUUCGGAAAAAAGUUGCUGACAGUCUCAGUGAGCAAGUUAAGAAGCUGGUGAUGAAUCUGUUGGAGCCAGAAGUCGCGAAACGAUGGAGUGUUGAUCAGAUUAUUCACAGCAGCUGGAUUGCCAUGGAUCCCAGAUUAGUCGUUAUGACACCAGCUGAACAGGCAGCUCUCAACAAUGCCAUCGAGGAACGAAAGAAAAAUGAGGAGAAACUCAGAAAACAAUCGUUAUAUAGAGACGAUCAUCAUCCACAAAGAAGAGAGUCACGAGGUGAAGACUCCAAGGGCGAAGACGUCAAAGUUCUUGCAGAUUCUGGAAAAAAAACCCUGAGUACUUCCGCUAUUGAUAACAGAAAUCUUCCACGAGCUUCAGGUCUCAAUCGUCUGGGAAGUAUUAGCGAGUAAUUUCUGGAGUUUCUUGAAUUUCCUUUUUAAUUAUUUAUUCUUGUUCCUGCGAACACGUCAAUCGCUGGGGUAUACUCUCGUUGCCGGUUGGACUCAGAUAAUCAUCCAGGGUUUACUACAGCUUUUAAUUGCCCAGUUGGCAGUCCCAUGGAUCCUGUUAGAAAGUCUUCAAUUGGAAAUUGAACGAUGAAAACCUCAUGCCCUGAUUUAUUCUCCUAAUUUCCACAUCUUUUUAAAUAUUAAAGAUAAUUAACAGCACCUUGGAAUUGAGUAUGUACAAUAAUAAAUAUGAUUGUCAAGAGUGUACGAAUUAAUUUGCCUCGGAAAUAGUAGAUAAAUCUAUCAGUUCCAUUAAUUAUAUCACAUCCUGCCAGGCAUCACCGAAAGCUGACGCAUAUCGUCCCUACAGUUCCAAUAAUUCAAUCAAUUAAUUACUAAUUACUUAAAUAAUAAUGCGACUGAUGCUCUCGGAUGCUCCUUUCUAGUGAUAUGAGUUAUCGAAAUUAUUAAUCUGUCGUCUCCUUGUUCUAGUUAAUUUCAAUAUGGGAAAAUUGAUUAAAUCAGAGAAGAUAAUUGACUCGCGA